rnacentral:rRNA from 1 species
AUUGAACGCUGGCGGCAGGCCUAACACAUGCAAGUCGAGCGGGGUUUUCGGACCUAGCGGCGGACGGGUGAGUAAUACGUAGGAAGCUGCCCGAUAGAGGGGGAUACCAGUUGGAAACGACUGUUAAUACCGCAUAAUGUCUACGGACCAAAGUGUGGGACCUUCGGGCCACAUGCUAUCGGAUGCGCCUACGUGGGAUUAGCUAGUUGGUGAGGUAAUGGCUCACCAAGGCGACGAUCUCUAGCUGGUUUGAGAGGAUGAUCAGCCACACUGGAACUGAGACACGGUCCAGACUCCUACGGGAGGCAGCAGUGGGGAAUAUUGGACAAUGGGCGCAAGCCUGAUCCAGCCAUGCCGCGUGUGUGAAGAAGGCCUUCGGGUUGUAAAGCACUUUCAGCGAGGAGGAAGGGUGUGUGUUAAUAGCACAUCAUUUUGACGUUACUCGCAGAAGAAGCACCGGCUAACUCUGUGCCAGCAGCCGCCGCCGUA